GACGAACGCUGGCGGCGUGCUUAACACAUGCAAGUCGAACGGAAAGGCCCUGCUUUUGUGGGGUGCUCGAGUGGCGAACGGGUGAGUAACACGUGAGUAACCUGCCCUUGACUUUGGGAUAACUUCAGGAAACUGGGGCUAAUACCGGAUAGGAGCUCCUGCUGCAUGGUGGGGGUUGGAAAGUUUCGGCGGUUGGGGAUGGACUCGCGGCUUAUCAGCUUGUUGGUGGGUAGUGGCUUACCAAGGCUUUGACGGGUAGCCGGCCUGAGAGGGUGACCGGGCACAUUGGGACUGCGGUACGGCCCAGACUCCUACGGGAGGCAGCAGUGGGGAAUAUUGCACAAUGGGCGGAAGCCUGAUGCAGCAACGCCGCGUGCGGGAUGACGGCCUUCGGGUUGUAAACCGCUUUCGCCUGUGACGAAGCGUGAGUGACGGUAAUGGGUAAAGAAGCACCGGCUAACUACGUG
rnacentral:rRNA from 1 species